UGACUAUUGAAUUAAGAUACAACAGGCUGUACAUUGUUUUACUGGGCCAUUAAUAAUAAGCUCCCGCGAAUUGUGAGACAGCAAGCUAGAAACUGAGUAAUUUCAGUCACCCAAGAACUGCGCAGGAUUAAUAAAAGGCUUGUAGAAAGCCGUUCUGGAGUGGGAAUGCCUUUGGUGUCUGACGAGGGACGAAAGGCAGCGGGUGGGUUUUGAUCUCAGCUUCCUGCAGGCAGCUCCUCGUGGCGUGACUGGCAAGGGCUCGUGCAGCCGAGCAGGCAAAAUGUCACACUCGUCUAGAGAAAUUAUACAUGCAGAUGUAUGUGUGUGUGAUGUACAGUUGCUCCCAACAGCUACAGAUAGAGGUGAUUUUGCUGAUUUUUUUUUCUUCUGAAACAGACAUCUGCAAUGCCCUGGCCGUACCCUGCAAGGCACGCAGAUACACAGACACCCACGAUGAAGUCGCCAGGGCCCUGGGCAAACAUCAGAGCCCACCAUCGCUGUGA
rnacentral:lncRNA from 1 species